AAAAUCCGCAUCUCACGUGCCUGAGAUCUGACGCCGAGCCGAUUCAGGUGAAGUGGGUAAUCCUAUGCUGCCAAGAAAAGCCUCUAGCGAGUGUUAAAGCCGCCCGUACCCCAAACCGACACAGGUGGUCAGGUAGAGAAUACUAAGGCGAUCGAGAUAACUAUGGUUAAGGAACUCGGCAAAAUGCCCCCGUAACUUCGGGAGAAGGGGGGCCCGUUCUGGUGAGGAGAUUUACUCUCCGAGCUGGGAUUGGCCGCAGAGACCAGGCCCAAGCGACUGUUUACUAAAAACACAGGUCCAUGCUAAGUCGCAAGACGCUGUAUAUGGACUGACGCCUGCCCGGUGCUGGAACGUUAAGGGGACGGGUUAGCGACUUCGGUCGCGAAGCUCAGAACUUAAGCGCCAGUAAACGGCGGUGGUAACUAUAACCAUCCUAAGGUAGCGAAAUUCCUUGUCGGGUAAGUUCCGACCUGCACGAAUGGCGUAACGACUUGGGCGCUGUCUCAACCGUAGACUCGGCGAAAUUGCACUACGAGUAAAGAUGCUCGUUACGCGCGGCAGGACGGAGAGACCCCGGGACCUUUACUACAGCUUGGUAUUGGUGGUCGAUUCGAUUUGUGUAGGAUAGGUGGGAGACUGUGAACUUCGGACGCCAGUUCGAAGGGAGUCAUCGUUGAAAUACCACUCUGAUCGUAUUGGCUGUCUAACCUAGAUCCGUAAUCCGGAUCAGGGACAGUGCCUGGUGGGUAGUUUAACUGGGGCGGUUGCCUCCUAAAAUGUAACGGAGGCGCUCAAAGGUUCCCUCAGCCUGGUUGGCAAUCAGGUAUCGAGUGUAAGUGCACAAGGGAGCUUGACUGUGAGACUGACGGGUCGAGCAGGGACGAAAGUCGGAACUAGUGAUCCGGCGCUGGCAAGUGGAAGCGGCGUCGCUCAACGGAUAAAAGGUACCCCGGGGAUAACAGGCUGAUCUUGCCCAAGAGUCCAUAUCGACGGCAUGGUUUGGCACCUCGAUGUCGGCUCGUCGCAUCCUGGGGCUGGAGUAGGUCCCAAGGGUUGGGCUGUUCGCCCAUUAAAGCGGCACGCGAGCUGGGUUUAGAACGUCGUGAGACAGUUCGGUCCCUAUCCGCCGCGCGCGUAAGAGUCUUGAGAAGAUCUGUCCCUAGUACGAGAGGACCGGGAUGGACGAACCUCUGGUGUGUCAGUUGUCCUGCCAAGGGCACUGCUGAUUAGCUACGUUCGGAAGAGAUAACCGCUGAAAGCAUCUAAGCGGGAAACUCGCUUCAAGAUGAGGGCUCUCACAGGGUUAACCUGGUAAGGCCCCCAGUAGACCACUGGGUUGAUAGGCCGGAAGUGGAAGUGCGGUAACGCAUGCAGCUGACCGGUACUAAUAGGCCGAGGACUUGAUC
rnacentral:rRNA from 1 species